rnacentral:rRNA from 1 species
GGAACGAACGCUGGCGGCAGGCCUCAAACAUGCAAGUCUAGGGGGUGUAGCAAUACAUCACCGGCGGACGGGUGCGUAACGCGUGGGAAUAUACCUAUUGGUUCGGAACAACUGAGGGAAACUUCAGCUAAUACCGAAUGUGUCCUAACGGAGAAAGAUUUAUCGCCAAUAGAUUAGCCCGCGUUCGAUUAGCUAGUUGGUGGGGUAAUGGCUCACCAAGGCGACGAUCGAUAGCUGCUCUGAGAGGAAGAUCAGCCACACUGGGACUGAGACACGGCCCAGACUCCUACGGGAGGCAGCAGUUGGGAAUCUUGGACAAUGGGGGAAACCCUGAUCCAGCCAUGCCGCGUGAGUGAUGAAGGCCUUCGGGCUGUAAAACUCUUUCGCGCACGACGAUAAUGACGGUAGUGCGAGAGAAGCUCCGGCUAACUUCGUGCCAGCAGCCGC